rnacentral:lncRNA from 1 species
GCACCAUUAACAAUUAAAACAUGUGUAAGGUGAUUACAGAUAGUGUAUGACCCUAUAUAACAUCCGUGUUGACUUCAACAUCCUGCUAGGUGAGGGUGUAGGCUAUGUCAUGGAUUGGAGGUAUGGCUUUAUUCUGUUUUUUCGAGCACUCUCUCGCGUAGUGCUGGACACUUCCACAUAUGCGGCAUGUAUUGUUGAGGUGAUAACAAAGUCGGUCUCCAUGAUUUUUGUCACACUGCAUGCAAGUCCUACCGCAUCCUGUUGCUGGAACUUGAGAAAGAGUUUGAGUCGCGGGCCUAAGUCUCUUGUUCUGCUGAAUCGAUGCAGUAGGUGCUGGCCUGCAGUAUGAAACCGGAGGAAUGAAAUUGCCCACUGCUGGAGGAAAGAUGCGAAGUUUUCUCUCUAUCAACUGUGCCUUAGCCAGAAGUGCUGAGUAAGUGCUUCGCUUGAAUACAUUUAGUUGUUGUCUGAUCUUAGA